UUUCAAUUAUAUUGUUCCAAAACCCAAAAACUAUAUCCAAAAGUUCCACCGAAUUUUGCUCCAUUGUGUACUCGAACCAGGUGAGGAAACAAAACUCAACUUCAUCAUCAGGUAUAGAAAUAAGUCGUUCAGUAACAAUUUUACCUACUUGACGAAUAACUGGUAUGUUCCGUUGUUUUAAUGCUAGCAGAAAACCAUUUCUAAGAGAAGAAGCUUUAAACAAAAAGUUGCGAUGUUCCAGCUCUGCAAUGAAAUCUUCUGCAUUGGGUAAGAAAAGAAUACGUUUUGGUAUAAAACCUUCGUGUCCUGCAUGUAUAACUCGACCAUCUUUUAUAUCUUCAUUAGGGCUUUUUUUAACAAACCCCGAAAUGACUAAUUCGUCAAUUUUUGUAAGGAUUUGAAGUGUAAAAUACCUGCGUAGCAAUCCACGUUGAAUAGAGAGAAUGAUGCUUUUGGGUACCAUUGAAAGAGUAAAAUCAAUAGGCAUGAAGAUAGGCGUAUUAUUCCUUAAAGAUAAUCGGUGUCUCAAACUACGAGAAGUCACUGCCAAAUUCGAAUUAUUGGAUAACAAAAAUAUUAAUCUUAAAACUUCUAAAGGUAAAGACUCAAAAACCGUUAACGCUCUAGCUUUUCCAUCAGUCAAAUUAUUUUUGACCUUUCUUUUCGUAAUUUUUUCAUUAUAGUCAUUUUUUAUGGUCUGUUUUCGCUUUUUACCCAUCUUUAACAAGAUUUUUGGAGCUCACCAACAGACACUAUUUAGUGCUGAAAAAUUUAAACAUGUAUAGAAAAUAAAUGACUACAAAAGAUAAUUUAACUUAAAAUAUUUACAACAUUUUCAUAAUAACCCAAAUAGUUGGUUUUUUAAAAGAAAAGAAUAAAUCUGAUACUUAUUUGCUCAAAGGUUCAAAGAAGAAACUCAAGGUUUUGAAAAAGCAAUGUAUGUGCUACUAAAAAAUGAAAAUCAAAACCUAGAAUUGUACUAACAACACCAAAAACAAGCUGAAAUCUAAUGUUUAAAAAAAAAAAAUUAAUUAUAUGUAAAAGAGCUAAAUAAGUAUAGCUAAAACCUAAAUGAACUAUGGAAAAAUAAAUGUUGAUAAUAAUACAUGAAGGAAACCAGAAAUCAAAAUUCAGUACUGUUUUUUGAAUUAAAAAUUAUAUGUAACAAAGUCGGCUUGAGAGAGAAGUUUCAACGUACGAAAGAAAAAUUAAUUUCAAAUAAAGUCACCAUCUUCGUCCGAAUCGAGAUCGCGUCCUUGUGUAGUCAUGGCAUGCUUAAAUUUUAGCAUUUUUAACUUUGCCCUUUUGAUCUUGCUACUCGUUGAAGCAAGUGUUACUGUAUUUACAAAUGGCAAAUCCGUAAUGUUUGACGAAAAAGGCUCAAUAGGUAACGAACAAGACUCUUGAAAAGUUGGUAAAAUAGGAGAUUUCUUUCCCGCUUUAGAAAAAAUAUCCGGAAUUUUGGUAAGUAUUUUCGGAGGCUUUUGGUUUUUGCUGGGUGAGAGAUUUACAGCUCGAACAGUAGGCGAGGAUGAAAUGGUAUCCGAAGGAGAAGAGUCCGUUUCAAUAGCAUUAGGAACAUUUCCUUUUUUCUUUUGGACUUGGUCCGAAGAAGAAACAGUAAACGAAGGGACAUUAAAAGGGCUAGAAAAUACCGACACAUUUCUGGAUUUCGAGUUUUUAGGCAACGACGAAUGUUCCCCUGAAGAUAUUAUAGAAGUAGCUCCAAAACCGUCUUUUCUUUUCGAACCAUUUGCAUAUUUAGGAUAUAUCAACAAGCCUGUUCUCAGCGAUACACCUGAAUGUUUGGCCAAGGAAGGAUGUUUGGCAUGUUCAAGCACAGUAGAAGGUGAAACGUUAGGAUUGACUGCAUUGUUGGAUUGUAGAAAGAUUGAAGAAGAAGCACUAGAUCCAUUAAGUUCGUUUGAGCGAAGGGACGUGCCUAAGUGAGAGUGACUCCUACCAAACGAGGACGAAGAUGCUGGUUUAACUAAAGGAGAUGAAAAAGACGGUACACGAAACUUCACGGGUUGAAAGGCUUUUUUGUUGGGCAAAGCCAAAGGUGUUAAAAGAGAUGACGAAUCUAGCGAAGGAAUGUGUUCAUCCUCUUCUGAUGCUGCAUCUAGAAAAUCAGGAGAGUUUGGUAUUUCAUUAUCAGUUGUUUCUGUUACAUUUUGAAGCGAUGCCAGCUCGGCAGCAGUUUUGACACUUCUUUCGUACAAGUUUUUUGAGGGGUCGGUAACUGUGAUAUUAAUAAAGUUUUGUCGUUUCCCCGUGGGUUUCCGAAGCAGAGGUAACGGAAGGCGAGUCAAACGGAGACGUUUAGAAGUAGGACUGGGUUCUGCAACAGAAGAAUCUUGUCUUUGAUGAUCAUCAUUUAGCCCAUCGUUUUUGUUGGAAGGUAUGGUAUUACAAGCGCGGGAAGAAUGAGGAGAUCGAGCAUGAUUAUUAGAAACUUCUUCAUUUCCAUUUUCUAAUGCCUUCACGGAGACACUUACGUUAUCAUUACUUAGGUUUUGUAACAAAUGACCAGCAUUUGAAUUAUUUAGAGUGGUAAAAUCAUCUGCCUCGAGAUCGGCAGAAGGGGAAGAAAAAAAGUCAGAAGCUAUGUCGUCUUCUCCAAAUUCUUCUACAGGAUCUUCAACCAAGGUGCCAUUAAAAGACUUGGGUUUUGACAAAACAGGGAUAUAUGCAAUUUUCGAAGGUUUCGGUAGCGCAGUUACGGAUGAGUUAGAUGGGGGAUAGGGAGAGGUAUUGUUAGCUCGAUUAGAUUCCUCAACAGAAGAAGCUAGAUAUGAGUUUGGUCUAAACUUAGCUUUGGGUUGUAUUUCCGGUGUUACUGACAGUUGAUGCUUACUUGAACAUCUCAAACUACCAAUAUCUGAGUCAUCUACUCCAUAAGAUUGCAAAUUUGCGUUCCGGAAGAUCGUGGAUUUUGUUGAAUUUGUAUGAUGAGCGUGUGUUUUUAACAUAUUUGACGAUAAAGCACCAUUUGAAUUGUUAGAUACAUCUGAGUUAGCGGAGUGAAAUGGAGGCUGGAAUGGUUUUAAUAAAUAAGCUGGCCUCUUCCCUGUCUCACUCAAUUUUGAUUUCCUCGGUAUAGGUGGAAUAUUCGCUUCAGUAGUUGUUUGUAAAUUCUCAACGUAAACAAUAGUUCUAUUAAAUUCAAUUUCAGAAUCCAGAACAAUUCUCUUGUUGUUAAGGAAAAAAUCAUCUACGACUCGGUUAUCAGAAUCGUAGAGAAUUCCACGAUUAUUGAAGCUGUGGAAGCGCAUUGUCCCAUCUUUCCAAACUUUUACUUUUUUUGCUUUAUCAGACGUCCACAAUACUUGAUAAUGAAAAACAUUGGAACUUGUAUCCAUAGAAUAUAAGUUUUAAAGCCUGUAAAGGCAGUUCCGAAAGGUGGCUUACGAAAAGCUUAAUAUUGUUGAAAAAAACUCACAAACCACCCUAUUUAAUAAUUAAUUAAAGAAUAAGAGUGAGAAUAUCUAUUUCAUGUAUAAACCUCAUUUGAGCAUUAAUUGCUCUCGCUUUAGGAAUGGGAAUUACGUGCUUUUGUUGGAUGGUAGUUAGGAAAUGGUUGGUAUACAGCAGAAAGUUGAAAUCUAGGAAAGUAAAUGAUCUCAAGCCAGAAAAUUACAUCUUUGUAGAAUCCUUAAACAAGGUUUCCUUUUCUUUUCUUUUUCUUUAUGAACUACAAACGAGUUGAGCUUUUGGUUAUUGAUAUGAGGUACUUGUUUACACGCCGAAAUGAUUGAAGGUAACUUUAUAAUACGCAAGCAGAAGCAGAUUAUCUCUUGAGAUGGUUUCAAGAGAGAUGCUUAUUUUUAUUAAUUUUACUAAUCUACAAGGUCUAAUAUUUGAUGGGUUUUUCUUUAGUAAAAGGUCUCUUAGUGCCCAAGGAAGCAAAACUGUUAGAUAAUUUUCAAUAUCCUGUAUCGAGAAACGGAAACAAUGGUUAAUAAUCCCGAUUGAUAGUUUCAUAGGGACAGACUGUGUGUAUACAUAAUGAUAUAUAAAAAAAGAUGUCUUUUUUCACCUUAAACCAUGAAGUUUACAGUUGAGCUUACAGAGGCAGAUUGCUUCAAAUAUUCGUAAUGUAAAAUUAUUUAUCUUGUAAAUUUGUAUCUAUCGUCGCAUUAUAAUAGAGAAUCUAAACAUAGCAGUUGG